rnacentral:lncRNA from 14 species
CAAGACAUCAUGCAGGUAUUGCUGAGUGUUUUGUCCAUCACUGCAGUCCGUUCAGGUUGGUUUGGUGGCUUGAGUUUUGAUUUAGCAAGUUUUACAUACUUCUGCCUUGGCUUUUCUCAAUGUACUGCUUCAUAGUGGAGGUAUGAAGAUGCUAAAUGAGACCCAGAUUUUAGCGGUUAGUGAUACUGGGGAAAUGUAUGUGUUAAGUAUUACAUGUGUGCUGAGUUAAAUAACUCUAGGGGUGGAGGAAAGAGAAGUGUGUGAUGGCCAGAGCUAGCACUUAAAGGGCUUCUGAGUUCUCUUCCUCUUUCUGCCAGUGAUUCACUGUAUGGCUCCAGGCAAGACACGUAACCAAGCUGAAAUAUUUUCCCCAGCUGCAAGAGCUGUAGCACCAAAUACAAGGAGGGCCUGUGAGAUUUAACAGAAUUUUACAGAAAGCCGUGAGAUCCCUGCUAGAAAGCUGCUACAGAAAGGCAAGUAUUACAGUAUGUCAAACUACUGUUCAUAAAUGAGCUCCUUGGCUCCACAUCAGAGAAAAGCAGUGCCUGGAACUCCCUCUGUGAACAACCCUGAUGAAGAGGGUUGGGACAGAUGGGAAACAGAUGUGAAAACACAGCAGGAGAGAGCAGCAAACUCCACCAGCAGCAAACUCCACUGACUUGGGCGGGCAGGUUAUUUGGUGUACCAGCACCGGAGAGCAGACUUUCCCUGCCAACCACACUGAAGAGGCUGGAGAAAGAGAGGUGUCAAGGCUUUUAUACAGAGUGGAAGAACAAGGAUGGGAAUUGUGUCUGGGUCCUUCUAGCAAGUCUCUCCUGGAGGAGAAGAAGCAGCGACCAAGCCCAACCAUCGUCAGAAAGCAACAGUCUCAGCUAAGGGCCCAAGCACUGCAGAGCAGCUCUGCCCAGUACCUGGACCAGCCAGGCCCUGUGGUCACGGCCGUAACGCACGGGGCCCGUGUGUCCUUUGCCACCGCGGAACCUGUUUGUCCAGCGCCUGAGGGAAGGAGCCCAUUAAGCGGAGCCUCUGGGACGCGUCCCUCAGCCGGGACACGUGCGGAACUGCCGCAGGCCCAGCACGGGUGACGCUGGAGCACAACGCGUUGUUUAUGGGUCAUGUCCAGCGGGUGCCAUGAGGGCUGAGGAGCCGUGUCCCAGGGUGAGUGGGUGCUGGUGCCCUCCUGUGCCGGGCUGCAGGGGCCCCGCUCGCCGCCAGGGGGCGCUCUCUUGGGCCGCCCCGGCAGCGGCGAUGGAGC